GUAUAUAGCAGUUUGGUAGCUCAUAAGGCUCGUAACCUUGGGGUUGUGGGUUCGAUUCCCCCUAC
rfam:Triticum aestivum genome assembly, contig: Triticum_aestivum_CS42_TGACv1_scaffold_062365_1DL